UGUAAUGGCAGGUCAGCAUACUGCCGUGAAUACGUUCCCGGGCCCUUGUACACACCGCCCGUCACACCAUGAGAGUUGGGAAUACCCGAAGCCUGUGAGCUAACAUUAAGAGGCAGCAGUCGAAGGUAGAAUCAAUGAUUGGGGUGAAGUCGUAACAAGGUAAC
rnacentral:rRNA from 1 species